rnacentral:rRNA from 1 species
UACAGAGGUGGCAAGCGUUGUUCGGAUUUAUUGGGCGUAAAGGGUCCGUAGGCGGCCUGAAAAGUUGGAUGUGAAAUCCCACAGCUUAACUGUGGAACUGCAUUCAAAACUUUCAGGCUCGAGUGUGAUAGGGGUAAAGGGAAUUCCCGGUGUAAGGGUGAAAUCUGCAGAGAUCGGGAGGAACACCAGUCGCGAAGGCGCUUUACUGGAUCACUACUGACGCUGAGGGACGAAAGCCAGGGGAGCAAAC